ACUCCAUGUGUAACUCUGUGUUGUCUGUUCACACUGCUAUGCUUUAUCUUGGCCAGGUCGCAGUUGAAAAUGAGAACUUGUUCUCAACUAGCCUACCUGGUUAAAUAAAGGUGUUCUCAACUAGCCUACCUGGUUAAAUAAAGGUGUUCUCAACUAGCCUACCUGGUUAAAUAAAGGUGUUCUCAACUAGUCUACCUGGUUAAAUAAAGGUGUUCUCAACUAGCCUACCUGGUUAAAUAAAGGUGUUCUCAACUAGCCUACCCGGUUAAAUAAAGGUGUUCUCAACUAGCCUACCUGGUUAAAUAAAGGUGUUCUCAACUAGCCUACCUGGUUAAAUAAAGGUUUUCUCAACUAGCCUACCUGGUUAAAUAAAGGUGAAAUAAAUACAAAUAAAAAUACAAGU
ensembl:lncRNA